UCGCAACCCUUGAAUCUGUUUUUCUCUGCAACGGUUUUUCUACUUUUUAAAAAUGGAUGGAAUUUUUUGCUGCUGCAAGGAUAUAUAGCAGUAGUAUGUACGUGGGCGAUCGGGGGGGUGGUGGCGCAUGCACGGGCUCGCGUGGGGCCUGUCGGUGGCAGCCCCAGCGCGCCGGCGCCAGCCCCGUGAUCGUCGAUCGCGCACGUACGUGGAGGGGAUUAUGAGAGGAGAAGACGCGCACGGGGCUGUGUCGUAUGCAGAGC
rnacentral:misc_RNA from 1 species